rnacentral:rRNA from 1 species
UACAGAGACUGCGAGCGUUAUUCGGAUUCACUGGGCGUAAAGGGUGCGCAGGCGGCCAAGUGUGUUAGGCGUGAAAGCCCGAGGCUUAACCUCGGAAUUGCACCUAAAACUACUUGGCUAGAGUACUGGAGAGGGAAACGGAAUUCACGGUGUAGCAGUGAAAUGCGUAGAUAUCGAGAGGAACACCAGUGGCGAAGGCGAGUCCCUGGACAACACCUGACACUGAGGCACGAAAGCUAGGGGAGCAAACAGG